GACGGAGGAGGCAAGCGUUAUCCGGAAUUAUUGGGCGUAAAGCGUCCGUAGGUGGCUUUACAAGUCAGCUGUUAAAGCGUGGAGCUUAACUCCAUAAAGGCAGUUGAAACUGUGAGGCUAGAGUGCGGUAGGGGCAAGGGGAAUUCCCAGUGUAGCGGUGAAAUGCGUAGAUAUUGGGAAGAACACCGGUGGCGAAAGCGCCUUGCUGGACCUGCACUGACACUGAGGGACGAAAGCUAGGGGAGCGAAAGGG
rnacentral:rRNA from 1 species